rnacentral:lncRNA from 1 species
GUGGGAGUUGUGCAAGUGAUCCUUUGACUUGAGAUCACCAUGGUAUCUUAUGUACGUGAAUUCAUAUUUUGGUUCAUUUCAUAACUUAAUUUUUUGAUCUUUGUGUGGGGUAUUCUAGAUAUAGUGAAGUUUGCAUGGAGAUUGUGAGUGGUCAAUAAGGGAUCGGUCACUCCUAAUAAGGGGAGCGAAUAUCCUAUGUGAUCUUAUAGGUUAAUGAUUCUGAAAUUC